rnacentral:rRNA from 1 species
GACGAACGCUGGCGGCGUGCUUAACACAUGCAAGUCGAACGGACAGACCCUGCUUUUGCGGGUUGCUCGAUUGGCGAACGGGUGUGUAACACGUGUGUAACCUGCCCUUGUCUUUGGGAUAACUUCAGGAAACUGGGGCUCAUACCGGAUAGGAGCUCCUGCUGCAUGGUGGGCGUUGGAAAGUUUCGGCGGUUGGGGAUGGAUUGGCGGCUUAUCCGCUUGUUGGUGGGGUAGUGGCUUACCAAGGGUUUGACGGGUAGCCGGCCUUAGAGGGUGACCGGGCACAAUGGGACUGAGAGACGGACCAGAAUCCAACGUGAGGCAGCAGUGGGGAAUAUUGCACAGUGAGCGGAAGCGUGUGGCAGCAACGCUGCGUUCGGGAUGAUGGCUUACGGGGGAUAAACCGCUGUCGCCGGUGACGUAGCGUGAGUGACGGUAACGAGUAAGGAAGCACCGGCUAACUACGUG